AAGCUAAUUACCUAACGUUUCUCUCCCGAGCCCCUCUCCCUCACGAUUUCUACCCCAUCGCGUGUGCUGCUCUGAUCUGCCGGUCGUCGUCGUCCCUCUCCUGGCCGCAAACACCAAGUGCUCGCUGGAAGUGAGCAUCCAAGUCCUCUAUUCUUCCGUGCCCUAGAUUGCUGGAUAGCCGAUCCACCAUCGUCGACACUUGUGCAUCACCCCGAUCACCGCCACCACCACUGCUCGGUGGCGCCGUUGCUGGAGGGGAAGGAGCCAACAAAAAAGGGGGUAGGGCUACCAUUCGUGUAGUCACCACCCCUUUCCUCCUCUCUCUCGUGGGAUGUCGCAACCCACGCCGCUAACAUCUUUCGUCGCCUGCUUCGAUCCAUAAGCAUAGGACCAUCGCUUGAAAGGGGAAUCGACGCAAGGGGAUUUAGGCCACAAAGAGAUCUAGGCUACAGUGAUCACCUCCUUGAUAGAAUCCCGGUUAUCACAGUAGGCAGGUGAUUCCUGAGCAAUGUGUGCUGCUGGAUCAGAGUCGCCACUUCUUGAGAGCAAGCUUUGUGCCAUUGAGCUACCCACCUAGCUUCGACCAGCACUGUUCGCCAGUGAUCCACAGCUCCGAACAUCCUAUUUUCGACAGUAAAUUCUCCGGCCAUGAGUCAACAGAGGAGCAACUAGUUUUGGGAUUUCUAAUAUGUAUCAUGUUACAAGACUUUAAUUAGAGACAGACAUCUUAACGAGAGACUUAUUUUGGGGACGAUCUAUAAUAAAGGUAGGUAUUUCUUCCUUGAUCUCUUUAGCUCUUUGAACUUAGUGCAUAUUUAUUUUUAUUUUAUAGAUUAGAUUACUUUACCUUAAUCUAUCCGUAUUGUUAUCCUGCUUGAUACUUGUGCUUGACCUUUAAGAAGAUAUAUUUAUUUCAGAUACAGUUUUAGCUUUUGGAAAUCCAUACUCUGUUAUAUAUUUAUAGGUAGAGUAUGUAUAGUAGGGGAUAUUGUUGGAUUGCACUAGAGGGGGGGGGCUUGAAUAGCGCGCGUGGCUUUCACGCAUUUUGUAAUCGGAAAUUCGACGAGUAAAGCAGCGGAAAUAAAAUCAAACACACAGAAAGGACCCAAGUGUUUACUUGGUUCAGAGCCUUGGGUGAUUCCUACUCCAAGGCCCGCGAUCGUUGAUCACUUUCGGUGGGCAACAACUAUAUAGCGCAAAAGUGUACAAGAGUAUUACAAUUUCACAGUAUUGAAAACUUAUACUGACAACAAGAAAUCUUAAAACUGAAGCUCCGAGUCGUCGGUGGCUUGUCGUAGCUUGGUCGGAACGUCACGUUAGCAGCUUGUUGAAGACAGAUGGCUUUUCAGAUCAUUGAUUGAGCUGCUAGUCGAAGUGGCCUUAAAUAGGUUGUUGAGGGUGCCUCCAAGCAUGUCCGAGGCGCCUCCAACUUGCCGAGUCAGUCGCGUGGAUCAGAACAGAACCGGUCGCAACUUAUCUGGUUGAAGGCGCCUCCAUCACCUUUUGAGGCGCCUCAAAGCAGUGGUCCAAGGCGCCUCCAAUGACCAUUAAGGCGCCUCCAACUCCUCUUCGCAUCCAGCUCACACUCUGCACCCGAGGCGCCUCAAGCUCCAUGAGGGUGCCUCGGGUACUGUUCAUUCGAGGCAAGUUGUGCACUUUAAUCCCUGCAAAAUAUGUUAGUUCACAACACACCCACAUACCCUGCAAGAUAAAGUUAGCACACAUAUAAAUACAAUAAAAAGAGCAUUCGACAAUCUCUGGACUGUCCAGUUCUGACUUCGAAUUUCCGACCGGAAACCCUAGGUCGAACCGACGCCUACUGUUCCCUCUUCCGGGGAACGCACCCUCACCUACUCCACUCUGGAGA